rnacentral:rRNA from 1 species
GACGUAGGGAGCAAGCGUUGUCCGGAAUUACUGGGCGUAAAGGGCUCGUAGGCGGCCAACUAAGUCGGACGUGAAAUCCCUCAGCUUAACUGGGGAACUGCGUCCGAUACUGGAUGGCUUGGAUUUGGGAGAGGGAUGCGGAAUUCCAGGUGUAGCGGUGAAAUGCGUAGAUAUCAGGAGGAACACCGGUGGUGUAGACGGCUUUCUGGACCGUAACUGACGCUGAGACACGAAAGCGUGGGUAGCAAACAGG